rnacentral:rRNA from 1 species
GCCUAUGGCCACGCUACCCUGUACAAGCCCGAUCCCAUCUGAUCUCAGAAGCUAAGCAGGGUCGGGCCUAGUUAGUAUUUGGAUGGAAGACCACCUAGGAAGACCAGGUGUUGUAGAUG